rnacentral:sRNA from 1 species
GUUUUUUCCCAUCUUUU